CAAAAGAACAAAAAACAUCAAAAGGACAAAAAGAAAUGGGAAAGAAGAAGAAGAAGACCCAUUCGAACCAUUCUUCUUCCCCAACAUGUUACUUGCGCCCCCCUUUUUCAAAAAUUGUUCUCUUUUUUCUCUUUCUUUCUC
rnacentral:ribozyme from 13 species